GCAUGUCAUAACUGUUGAGUCCAAGUUGUUAUCAGGAAGACGGUGAAGAUAACAGUUAUGAAUUCGAACAUUUUGAUAAUUUUAUUUGUUGAGCGAUGUAAUCUCCUGUUCUUUGACUAAAGUUUUAAUUGUGCUUCUCAAAGGUAGUGACACAAUUCAAAUUAUAUACUAAUGUAUAUGUGGGCUUUCUGGUUAAUAACCAAAUAAAAAUGUUGCGUAAUUUGGUGUUCUUGCAGAAGGAAUGUAUUUUCGCUGAUUUCAGUGAAUAAAUAGGAAACAUGAGCCAGAAACACGCCUUCUGUAACUUUGUUGACUUGUACUACUUUGUCUCUAAUAAUCUAAAUUGUUUUUGGUUAUCGGGACACAAAACGGGAGAGUCGAAUAUCUGGACUUGGAUUGGACGGAAAACUGCGCAUGCGUGUUAUGCAUCGACGCUGUUCCAACUGUUGGGGCUAUGUGGCUUCUAGAAAAGUGGAAGGUGACCAUCAACAGAUUUGAGAGGAUAGAGGCUGAACUCUUUUCAAGGAACUUCAAAUUUUCUGUCGUACAGACAUUCGUCAAGAUUAAUCUGCGGGUCAUCAGCGUUACUGGCCUUCAUUGUUAGUGGCAGGUUCUGGUUUGAACCAUUUGGUUCCAUCACCGGAAAGUUAUGUGGUUACAAAAGUUCAGAUAAUUCAGUUGGAUAUUAUAGCCUGAUGAUGGAAGCAGCAAGCACCCGUGAAACAUCAGUAUACUUCAACCAGACUAUCCCAAAAGUUCGUCAUCUUUAUACUCACUGCCAUGAAACCUUGAACUCUCAUCUAUUCAAGUUGUGUGUGGAUUCUGUAAGGAACUUACCUCCAGCAGGGCAAUGCUGGUUGCAGCAUGAGGAGAGAGAGUAAUGCCAUUCUCUUCAGGCAGAGGCUGGAGACCAAUGCUAUGGACGACAAGCCGAGCUCCUGCCUGUGGGCUCAGUCCUGCUCCCAGGCAUCUUCAGUUUUGCACUUAAAUAAUAUAAAUACUGAAUUAUGAAGACAGCAUUAAUGGGUGCCAUGCAAAAUGUUUUAAUGCAAUGUGAAUGAUGAGGGAAAUAUUGUGAAUUUACAUGAAGAUGUAAAAUCAUGAAAAUCAUUGCUUAGGGAGACUGGUGUCCAUGAAAAGUCCACAUGACAGCUGGUGAGCAUAUGAAGUUCCAGCAGGCGUGUUCCCAGCUCUGUACCCCAGUGCUUGGCUGCAAGUUUUCGCAGGUUUAUUUAACAAGGACAGUGGAAAAGGUGGGUGGGUGGAACUGAAUUGAUUUAUGCGACUCUCAGACAAGAGCGAGGUUAUUGGCUGGAAACAUCCUACAAAGAACUCAGUCUGGUCUGUGGCGAUAUUCAUAUAAUAAUAUGAUAAUUUAUUAAUUCUUAAUUCCUUAGAUAUACAUACAAGAAAGAGAGUACUGAAACACAUAAAUAAAUAUUAUAGAUAAAAACCUAGAUUUGGUAGGCAUUCAAGUUAUUGGGCCUGUAGUAAAUGUCUUCAUUGUCAUUUAUUAUACCUGUGAGGAAGGCAUACUCCAGUUUCCGCUUAAGCAUGUUCUAACAGUUUUGAAACACCAAUCAAUGUAUAGAAU